ACACGGUGCUGGACUCCGAGCACGAACUUGGCUUAUAUUAAGACGGUUUCCAGUUUCAGAGUGAAAUUCUUUUCAUACAAAUUGUCUUGGAUCAUAUUGUAAGAAUGAGACCAUGCUCCUUAAUUCUGCUAGGAAAUGAAGUCAGUGACUACCCUGUGCAUGAGAAUGUAUGUAAACAAUUAGUAGACUGACGAAAGUACACAAUUAUAACUUGGCGAUAAUAGUCA
rnacentral:lncRNA from 1 species